rnacentral:rRNA from 1 species
CCUACGGGGGGCAGCAGUGAGGAAUAUUGGUCAAUGGGCGCGAGCCUGAACCAGCCAAGUCGCGUGAAGGAUGACUGCCCUACGGGUUGUAAACUUCUUUUAUAAAGGAAUAAAGUGAGGCACGUGUGCCUUUUUGUAUGUACUUUAUGAAUAAGGAUCGGCUAACUCCGUGCCAGCAGCCGCGGUAAUACGGAGGAUUCAAGCGUUAUCCGGAUUUAUUGGGUUUAAAGGGUGCGUAGAUGGGUGGUUAAGUCAGUUGUGAAAUUUUGCGGCUCAACCUUAAAAUUGCAAUUGAUACUGGCAGUCUUGAGUACAGUUGAGGUAGGCGGAAUGUGUGGUGUAGCGGUGAAAUGCUUAGAUAUCACGAAGAACUCCGAUUGCGAAGGCAGCUUACUAAACUGCCACUGACAUUGAUGCUCGAAAGUGUGGGUAUCAAACAGGAUUAGAUACCCCAGUAGUC